UUUCUUCUCUGUUUACCGAUCCUCAUCUUCUUGGCGGUGGAAUUAGGUCACGGAUUUGGAGAGGUUGGAACCAAGGAGGUGUUGUUGGAUUAGGGGAAGGAAUCGGAUCAGACUCGUGCUAGGUUUUCCCUUGAUCGGAUCAGUGGACCUCCACCUCCUUGCUGUUGACUGAGGUCUCAAAUUGAAGCUGG